ensembl:snoRNA SNORD33 Small nucleolar RNA Z195/SNORD33/SNORD32 family
UCUGUCAGUGAUGAUUGUAUUACCCACCUUAGUUGAGUUUAACAAUGAGAAAACUCACAUGCACUACCAUCUGAGACAGG